rnacentral:rRNA from 1 species
UACGUAGGGGGCAAGCGUUGUCCGGAAUUAUUGGGCGUAAAGGGCGCGUAGGCGGUCAAUUAAGUCCGACGUGAAAUCCCCAGGCUUAACCUGGGAACUGCGUCGGAUACUGGAUGGCUUGAAUCCGGGAGAGGGAUGCAGAAUUCCAGGUGUAGCGGUGAAAUGCGUAGAUAUCUGGAGGAAUACCGGUGGCGAAGGCGGCAUCCUGGACCGAGAUUGACGCUGAUGAGCGAAAGCGAGGGGAGCAAACGGG